AGUGAACGCUGGCGGUAGGCCUAACACAUGCAAGUCGAACGGCAGCACAGUAAGAGCUUGCUCUUACGGGUGGCGAGUGGCGGACGGGUGAGGAAUACAUCGGAAUCUACUUUUUCGUGGGGGAUAACGUAGGGAAACUUACGCUAAUACCGCAUACGACCUACGGGUGAAAGCAGGGGAUCUUCGGACCUUGCGCGAUUGAAUGAGCCGAUGUCGGAUUAGCUAGUUGGCGGGGUAAAGGCCCACCAAGGCGACGAUCCGUAGCUGGUCUGAGAGGAUGAUCAGCCACACUGGAACGGAGACACGGUCCAGACGCCUACGGGAGGCAGCAGUGGGGAAUAUUGGACAAAGGGCGCAAGCCUGAUCCAGCCAUACCGCGUGGGUGAAGAAGGCCUUCGGGUUGUAAAGCCCUUUUGUUGGGAAAGAAAAGCAGCAGGUUAAGACCCCGCUGUUCUGACGGUACCCAAAGAAUAAGCACCGGCUAACUUCGUG
rnacentral:rRNA from 1 species